GACACUAUAGCUUAGUGGUUGAGCGCACGAUUGCAAUGAUUCUGUGGAUCAUAUACUAUCGUGCGGUCCCGUGUUCGACCCACGGUAGUGUCU